UACGUAGGGUGCAAGCGUUAAUCGGAAUUACUGGGCGUAAAGCGUGCGCAGGCGGUUCGCUAAGACCGAUGUGAAAAUCCCCGGGCUUAACCUGGGAACUGCAUUGGUGACUGGCGGGCUAGAGUAUGGCAGGAGGGGGGUAGAAUUCCGACGUGUAGCAGUGAAAUGCGUAGAGAUGUGGAGGAAUACCGAUGGCGAAGGCAGCCCCCUGGGCCAAUACUGACGCUCAUGCACGAAAGCGUGGGGAGCAAACAGG
rnacentral:rRNA from 1 species